UACGAAGGGGGCUAGCGUUGCUCGGAAUCACUGGGCGUAAAGCGCACGUAGGCGGCUUUCUAAGUCAGGGGUGAAAUCCUGGAGCUCAACCCCAGAACUGCCUUUGAUACUGGAGAGCUUGAGUCCGGGAGAGGUGAGUGGAACUCCGAGUGUAGAGGUGAAAUUCGUAGAUAUUCGGAAGAACACCAGUGGCGAAGGCGGCUCACUGGCCCGGUACUGACGCUGAGGUGCGAAAGCGUGGGGAGCAAACAGG
rnacentral:rRNA from 1 species